AACGAACGCUGGCGGCAUGCCUAACACAUGCAAGUCGAACGAGACCUUCGGGUCUAGUGGCGCACGGGUGCGUAACGCGUGGGAAUCUGCCCUUGGGUUCGGAAUAACAGUUAGAAAUGACUGCUAAUACCGGAUAAUGUCUUCGGACCAAAGAUUUAUCGCCCAGGGAUGAGCCCGCGUAGGAUUAGCUAGUUGGUGAGGUAAAGGCUCACCAAGGCGACGAUCCUUAGCUGGUCUGAGAGGAUGAUCAGCCACACUGGGACUGAGACACGGCCCAGACUCCUACGGGAGGCAGCAGUGGGAAUAUUGGACAAUGGGCGAAAGCCUGAUCCAGCAAUGCCGCGUGAGUGAUGAAGGCCUUAGGGUUGUAAAGCUCUUUUACCCGGGAUGAUAAUGACAGUACCGGGAGAAUAAGCCCCGGCUAACUCCGUGCCAGCAGCCGCGGUAA
rnacentral:rRNA from 1 species